GGGGAAGUGCUGGAACUGGCAGACAGGCAGGACUUAGGAUCCUGUACCGCAAGGUGUGGGGGUUCGACUCCCCCCUUCCCCA
rfam:Chloroflexi bacterium RBG_16_50_9 RBG_16_scaffold_20759, whole genome shotgun sequence.